CCUACGGGUGGCAGCAGUCGAGAAUCAUUCACAAUGGGGGAAACCCUGAUGGUGCGACGCCGCGUGGGGGAAUGAAGGUCUUCGGAUUGUAAACCUCUGUCAUGUGGGAGCAAAUUAAAAAGAUAGUACCACAAGAGGAAGAGACGGCUAACUCUGUGCCAGCAGCCGCGGUAAUACAGAGGUCUCAAGCGGUGUUCGGAAUCACUGGGCGUAAAGCGUGCGGAGGCUGUUUCGUAAGUCGUGUGUGAAAGGCGCGGGCUCAACCCGCGGAAGGCACAUGAUACUGCGAGACUAGAGUAAGGGAGGGGGAACCGGAAUUCUCGGUGUAGCAGUGAAAUGCGUAGAUAUCGAGAGGAACACUCGUGGCGAAGGCGGGUUCCUGGACAUUAACUGACGCUGAGGCACGAAGGCCAGGGGAGCGAAAGGGAUUAGAUACCCGGGUAGUC
rnacentral:rRNA from 1 species